AGUGAACGCUGGCGGUAGGCCUAACACAUGCAAGUCGAACGGCAGCACAGUAAGAGCUUGCUCUUACGGGUGGCGAGUGGCGGACGGGUGAGGAAUACAUCGGAAUCUACUUUUUCGUGGGGGAUAACGUAGGGAAACUUACGCUAAUACCGCAUACGACCUACGGGUGAAAGCAGGGGAUCUUCUGACCUUGCGCGAUUGAAUGAGCCGAUGUCGGAUUAGCUGGUUGGCGGGGUAAAGGCCCACCAAGGCGACGAUCCGUAGCUGGUCUGAGAGGAUGAUCAGCCACACUGGAACUGAGACACGGUCCAGACUCCUACGGGAGGCAGCAGUGGGGAAUAUUGGACAAUGGGCGCAAGCCUGAUCCAGCCAUACCGCGUGGGUGAAGGAGGCCUUCGGGUUGUAAAGCCCUUUUGUUGGGAAAGAAAAGCAGCAGGUUAAUACCCCGCUGUUCUGACGGUACCCAAAGAAUAAGCACCGGCUAACUUCGUG
rnacentral:rRNA from 1 species